rnacentral:lncRNA from 1 species
CUGAGUUUUUAUUGGCUGAAGUUAUUUUUUCAUGUCCUGCUGGAACAAAAUAUGGUCCUGGGAUUCUGGUAAGUAUAAACCACCUCAUUCAUCAGCAGGUGGCCCAGAACACCAGGGGAAGCUGUGCUGGAAAAUGAAGACAGGCCCAUCUCUACUUACCAAUGUCACUGUCUCACCAGUGCCUCUCGCUGUCCUCACCAGUGCUUCCUGUCUCACCAAUGCCUCUCUCUCACCAGUGCGUCUCUCACCAAUGCCUCUCUCUCUCUCACCAAUGCCUCUCUCUCACCAAUGCCUCUCUCUCACCAAAGCCUCUCUCUCACCCAAUGCCUCUCUCUCACCAAUAGCCUCUCUCUUCACCAAUGCCUUCUCUCUCACCAAAGCCUCUCUCUCUCACCAAUGCCUCUCUCUCACCAAAGCCUCUCUCUCUCACCAAUGCCUCUCUCUCACCAAUGCCUCUCUCUCUCACCAAUACCUCUCUCUCACCAGUGCCUCUCUCUCUCUCAUCAAUGCUCUCUCUCUCACCAAAGCCUCUCUCUCUCACCAAUGCCUCUCUCUCUCACCAAUGCCUCUCUCUCACCAAUGACUCUCUCUCACGCCAAUGCUCUCUCUCUCACCAAUGCUUCUCUCUCUCACAACCAUGCCUCUCUCUCAACCACUGCCUCUCUCUCUCACAAAGCUCUCUCCACCAAGCCUCUCUCUCUCACCAAAGCCCUCUCUCUCUCACCAAAGCCUCUCUCUCACCAAUGCCUCUCUCUCAUCACCAGUGCCUCUCUCUCACCAAUGCCUCUCUCUCUCACCAAAGCCUCUCUCUCACCAAUGCCUCUCUCUCUCACCAAAGCCUCUCUCUCACCAAUGCCUCUCUCUCACCAGUGCCUCUCUCACCAGUGCCCUCUCUCUCACCAAUGCCUCUCUCUCUCACCAAUGCCUCUCUCUCUCACCAAUGCCUCUCUCUCUCUCACCAGUGCCUCUCUCUCACCAAUGUCUCUCUCUCUCCCUUCUCUCACUUCCUCUCUACCAAAGCCCUCUCUCUCACCAGCUCUCCCUCUAUGCUUCUUCUCUCACCAAUGCCUCUCUCUCUCUAACCAAUGCCUCUCUUCUCCACAGAUGCCUCUCUCCAUCCUUCUACCAAUCCUCUCUCUCUCACCAAAGCCUCUUUCUCCACCAAUGCCUUCUCUCUCUCAUCAAUGCUCUCUCUCUCACUAAAGCCUCUCUCUCUCACCAAUGCCUCUCUCUCUCACCAAUGCCUCUCUCUCCCAAAGCCUCUCUCUCUCCACCAAAUGCCAUCUCUUCAACCAAGCUCUCCUCUCUCUCACCAAUGCCUCUCUCUCUCUCACCAAUGCCUCUCUCUCACCAAAGCCUCUCUCUCUCACCAAUGCCUCUCUCUCACCAAUGCCUCUCUCUCUCUCACCAAAGCCUCUCUCUCCACACAAUGCCUCUCUCUCACCAAUGCCUCUCUCUCACCAAUGGCUCUCCUCACUCUCU